UCCUACGGGAGGCAGCAGUGGGGGAUAUUGCACAAUGGGGGAAACCCUGAUGCAGCGACGCCGCGUGUGGGAAGACGGUCUUCUGGAUUGUAAACCACUGUCCCCAGGGACGAAAAUGACGGUACCUGGGGAGGAAGCUCCGGCUAACUACGUGCCAGCAGCCGCGGUAAUACGUAGGGGGCAAGCGUUAUCCGGAUUUACUGGGUGUAAAGGGAGCGUAGGUGGCAUGGUGAGCCAGAAGUGAAAACCCGGGGCUCAACCCCGCGGAUUGCUUUUGGAACUAUCAGGCUGGAGUGCUGGAGGGG
rnacentral:rRNA from 1 species